UAAGGUUAAGUUAAUAAGGGCGCACGGUGGAUGCCUUGGCACUAGGAGCCGAAGAAGGACGUGACAAACGACGAUAUGCCUUGGGUAGCUGUAAGUAAGCGAUGAUCCAGGGAUUUCCGAAUGGGGGAACCCAACAGGUACUACCUGUUACCCGCAUCUGUUAAGGAUGUGAGGAGGAAGACGCAGUGAACUGAAACAUCUAAGUAGCUGCAGGAAGAGAAAGCAAAAGCGAUUGCCUUAGUAGCGGCGAGCGAAACGGCAGGAGGGCAAACCGAAGAGUUUACUCUUCGGGGUUGUAGGACUGCAAUGUGGACUCAAAGAUUAUAGAAGAAUGAUUUGGGAAGAUCAGCCAAAGAGAGUAAUAGCCUCGUAUUUAAAAUAGUCUUUGUACCUAGCAGUAUCCUGAGUACGGCGGGACACGUGAAAUCCCGUCGGAAUCUGGGAGGACCAUCUCCCAACCCUAAAUACUCCCUAGUGACCGAUAGUGAACCAGUACCNNNNNNNNNNNNNNNNNNNNNNNNNNNNNNNNNNNNNNNNNNNNNNNNNNNNNNNNNNNNNNNNNNNNNNNNNNNNNCCGGGAGGGGAGUGAAAUAGAACCUGAAACCGUGUGCCUACAACAAGUUCGAGCCCGUUAAUGGGUGAGAGCGUGCCUUUUGUAGAAUGAACCGGCGAGUUACGAUAUGAUGCGAGGUUAAGUUGAAGAGACGGAGCCGCAGGGAAACCGAGUCUGAAUAGGGCGCAUUAGUAUCAUGUCGUAGACCCGAAACCAUGUGACCUACCCAUGAGCAGGUUGAAGGUGCGGUAAGACGCACUGGAGGACCGAACCAGGGCACGUUGAAAAGUGCUUGGAUGACUUGUGGGUAGCGGAGAAAUUCCAAACGAACUUGGAGAUAGCUGGUUCUCUCCGAAAUAGCUUUAGGGCUAGCGUCGACAUCAAGAUUCUUGGAGGUAGAGCACUGUUUGGGUGAGGGGUCCAUCCCGGAUUACCAAUCUCAGAUAAACUCCGAAUGCCAAUGAAUUAUGGUCGGCAGUCAGACUGCGAGUGCUAAGAUCCGUAGUCGAAAGGGAAACAGCCCAGACCACCAGCUAAGGUCCCAAAAUAAUUGUUAAGUGGAAAAGGAUGUGGGGUUGCACAGACAACUAGGAUGUUAGCUUAGAAGCAGCUAUUCAUUCAAAGAGUGCGUAAUAGCUCACUAGUCGAGUGACCCUGCGCCGAAAAUGUACCGGGGCUAAAACAAUUUACCGAAGCUGUGGAUACCUUUAUAGGUAUGGUAGGAGAGCGUUCUAUGUGUGAAGAAGGUAUACCGUGAGGAGUGCUGGAACGCAUAGAAGUGAGAAUGCCGGUAUGAGUAGCGAAAGACAGGUGAGAAUCCUGUCCACCGUAAGACUAAGGUUUCCAGGGGAAGGCUCGUCCGCCCUGGGUUAGUCGGGACCUAAGGAGAGACCGAAAGGUGUAUCCGAUGGACAACAGGUUGAUAUUCCUGUACUAGAGUAUGUAGUGAUGGAGGGACGCAGUAGGCUAACUAAAGCAGACGAAUGGAAGUGUCUGUCUAAGCAGUGAGGUGUGAAUUGAGUUAAAUGCUUAGUUCUAUAACAUUGAGCUGUGAUGGGGAGCGAAGUUUAGUAGCGAAGUUAGUGACGUCACACUGCCAAGAAAAGCUUCUAGCGUUUAAACAUACUCUACCCGUACCGCAAACCGACACAGGUAGUCGAGGCGAGUAGCCUCAGGUGAGCGAGAGAACUCUCGUUAAGGAACUCGGCAAAAUGACCCCGUAACUUCGGGAGAAGGGGUGCUGACUUUAGGUCAGCCGCAGUGAAUAGGCCCAAGCAACUGUUUAUCAAAAACACAGCUCUCUGCUAAAUCGUAAGAUGAUGUAUAGGGGGUGACGCCUGCC
rnacentral:rRNA from 1 species